GCCCCCCUCUUUCUCUCUGCCUCUCAUUCCUGAGGCUAGACCAAGGAAGAACAGAGCCCUACUUGGUGCGGCCGAGUACUGAGGACCCUCCAAAGAAUAAUUCCUCCUUUAAUCACUGCUUAUUAUUUUAUUUGCAAGCUGUAAAAGAAGGUUCAUAUUUUCUCACUUGGCUGAAGUGACACGUGGAAACUUGUUUUGCAAAGUUCGGCUCACUGGGCGGAGAGAAAGUUAAACACAUCAGAGUUUAUAGGAGGCUGAUACACGCAGGCACAAUGGAUCUUGUGGUGUUGGUGGCGUUCAGCUCCUGGGUGGCUCCUGCACUUGCCUCAGCGGCAGAUGAGGACAAAGACUAUGACAGUGCUUUUGAUUACGGUGAGUGUUUAGCAGAUGAAC